rnacentral:rRNA from 1 species
GAUGAACGCUGGCGGCGUGCCUAAUACAUGCAAGUCGAACGCUGGAAAUCUAGCUUGCUAGAUUGAAGGAGUGGCGAACGGGUGAGUAAUACAUAAGCAACCUACCCACGAAGACUGGGAUAAUCUCUGGAAACGGGGACUAAUACCGGAUAGGUAAUCGGAAGGCAUCUUCUGAUUAUUAAAGGUUAAAAACACUGGUGGAUGGGCUUAUGGCGCAUUAGUUAGUUGGUGAGGUAACGGCCCACCAAGACGAUGAUGCGUAGCCGGCCUGAGAGGGUGAACGGCCACAUGGGGACUGAGACACGGCCCAGACUCCUACGGGAGGCAGCAGUAGGGAAGUGUCGGCAAUGGGGGAAACCCUGACCGAGCAACGCCGCGUGAGUGAUGACGGCCUUCGGGUUGUAAAGCUCUGUUGUAAGGGAAGAACGGUAGAUAGAGAAUAUCUAAAUGACGGUACCUUACCAGAAAGCCACGGCUAACUACGUG